GUGGGAAGGAGGGGCGGCUGGCGUCCCUAGCGUACCCCGUGUUUCCUAAGCACACCGCUUUGCUUGGAGGUUCGCGCCCUGUAGCAAUCCGCGCUCCCUGCCGGCUGCAGUCCUGUCUCCCGUCCCCCCCGACCCCACGCCCCGCACCUCCCUCUGCCCCGUCAUCGGUGGAGUUCGCUCAGGCUGGGCACCACCCCGGGAGUGCCCCAGGCCGAACUGAAUGGCGCACGCGGCCCGGCACCAGUGGGUGGCUUCGACUGGGCCAGACCCAGGCCUCAAGUGUCCUCUUUGAGAUGGGCGGGACGCAGGGAACCGCACCACUAGAUUGGCAACAGGCGGACCACGCGCUCAUCCCUUUCCCGAGGGCAUCUCCUCCCCAGCUUUGGGAAUCUGCCUCAAUUCUAUGCCCUCCCCAACUUGAAAACUUCACAAAUCUGAGGACUUCACUGUUUAAGGAAGUUGAACUUGCCCCAUCUCUAAGCAGCCAAGCUUGAAUGAAUCACCUUCUCCCCUCCACCAGCAACACUUCCCCACCCACCCACACACAUACAAGGGACUCCAAAAUAUCCAGUGAUUUCAACACUACCCCCCAACACACACACACACACAAAACUCCAAAAUAUCCAGUAACAGGGGCUGCAAACUUUGUAUCAAAAAUAUUAAAAGACAAGUAUUGUAUAACAAAG
rnacentral:lncRNA from 1 species